UACGGAGGGUGCAAGCGUUGUCCGGAUUUAUUGGGUUUAAAGGGUGCGUAGGCGGUUCUUUAAGUCAGCGGUGAAAGUCCAGAGCUCAACUCUGGGAUUGCCAUUGAUACUGAAGAGCUUGAGUAUAGUUGAGGUAGGCGGAAUUGACAGUGUAGCGGUGAAAUGCAUAGAUAUUGUCAAGAACACCGAUUGCGUAGGCAGCUUACUAAGCUAUAACUGACGCUGAGGCACGAAAGUGUGGGGAUCAAACAGG
rnacentral:rRNA from 1 species